CCAAUAGCGUAUAUUAAAGUUGUUGCAGUUAAAAAGCUCGUAGUUGAAUUUCGGGGUCAGUAGGUCGGUCGUGCCACUGGUAUGAACUGGUUUUACUGAUUCCUCCCUCUUGAAGAACUGUAAUGCCAUUAAUUUGGUGUUGCAGGGAAUCAGGACUGUUACUUUGAAAAAAUUAGAGUGUUUAAAGCAGGCUUUAGCUUGAAUACAUUAGCAUGGAAUAAUGAAAUAGGACGUUUGAUCCUAUCUUGUUGGUUUCUAGGAUUGACGUAAUGAUUAAUAGGGAUAGUUGGGGGCAUUAGUAUUCAAUUGUCAGAGGUGAAAUUCUUGGAUUUAUUGAAGACUAACUACUGCGAAAGCAUUUGCCAAGGAUGUUUUCAUUAAUCAAGAACGAAAGUUAGGGGAUCGAAGACGAUCAGAUACCGUCGUAGUCUUAACCAUAAACUAUGCCGACUAGGGAUCGGAUGAUGUUAAUUUUUUAAUGACUCAUUCGGCGCCUUACG
rnacentral:rRNA from 1 species